rnacentral:rRNA from 1 species
CCCUUAGAUGUUCUGGGCUGCACGCGUGCUACAAUGGCGCUUGCAACAAGUCUUGCCAACCCGAUAGGGUGAGCGGAUCUUUGAAGAGGCGUCGUGAUCGGGACAGUUGAUUGCAAUUAUUCGACUCGAACGAGGAAUUCCUUGUAAUCGCGAUUCAUCAUAUCGCGCUGAAUACGUCCCUGCCCUUUGUACACACCGCCCGUCGCUCCUACCGAUUGAGCGAUCCGGUGAAUGUUUUGGACUGGCGUCAGAAGCGGUUCGCUCCUGACACUACGAAGUUUUGUAAACCUUAUCGCUUAGAGGAAGGAAAAGUCGUAACA